UACGUAGGGUGCAAGCGUUGUCCGGAAUUAUUGGGCGUAAAGAGCUCGUAGGCGGCUUGUCACGUCGGCUGUGAAAACCUGGGGCUCAACCCCGGGCCUGCAGCCGAUACGGGCAGCUAGAAUUCGGUAGGGGAGACUGGAAUCCUGGUGUAGCGGUGAAAUGCGCAGAUAUCAGGAGGAACACCGGUGGCGAAAGCGCGUAACUGGGUCAUAACUGACGCUGAGGAACGAAAGCCAGGGUAGCAAAAAGG
rnacentral:rRNA from 1 species